rnacentral:rRNA from 1 species
CCAGACUCCUACGGGAGGCAGCAGUAGGGAAUCUUCGGCAAUGGACGGAAGUCUGACCGAGCAACGCCGCGUGAGUGAAGAAGGUUUUCGGAUCGUAAAGCUCUGCUGUAAGAGAAGAACGAGUGUGAGAGUGGAAAGUUCACACUGUGACGGUAUCUUACCAGAAAGGGACGGCUAACUACGUGCCAGCAGCCGCGGUAAUACGUAGGUCCCGAGCGUUGUCCGGAUUUAUUGGGCGUAAAGCGAGCGCAGGCGGUUAGAUAAGUCUGAAGUUAAAGGCUGUGGCUUAACCAUAGUACGCUUUGGAAACUGUUUAACUUGAGUGCAAGAGGGGAGAGUGGAAUUCCAUGUGUAGCGGUGAAAUGCGUAGAUAUAUGGAGGAACACCGGUGGCGAAAGCGGCUCUCUGGCUUGUAACUGACGCUGAGGCUCGAAAGCGUGGGGAGCAAACAGGAUUAGAUACCCUGGUAGUCCACGCCGUAAACGAUGAGUGCUAGGUGUUAGACCCUUUCCGGGGUUUAGUGCCGCAGCUAACGCAUUAAGCACUCCGCCUGGGGAGUACGACCGCAAGGUUGAAACUCAAAGGAAUUGACGGGGGCCCGCACAAG